AGACACUGAAUCUGCUGGGGACUUAAUCUUGGAGUUUCCAGUCUCCAGAAUUAUAAGAAAUAAAUUUCUAUUAUUUAUAAAUUAACCAAUCUAAGGUAUUCUGUUUAGCAGCCCGAAUAAUGGACUAAGACAGACGCCUAACAUAUGAUCUAUCCUAGAUAAUGCUCUCUUCGCAUUCAGGAAGAAUGUAUAUUCUGCUUCUGAAUGGAAAAAAACAAAAUCAGGAUCAGGCACGGUGGCGCAUAAGGCCAGGAGUUUGAGACGUCUAGGCAACACAGCAAGAUCCAUUUGGUCCAAAGUUUUCAGGUGCUGGUUCCAUGGCUCUUCCUGAGCCGAAAAUAAGGAAACUCCAUAGACCUUGUCCACUGGAACUCGUUCCCAUCUACCCUCCACUCUAUCCAGCCCCAUGAGGACAAGGAACAUGAUUGGUUUUGCUCACUGCCGUAUCUUCCGUACCUAGUACGUAACAGGACAUCAAUAAAUAUUAGUUGAAUGGAAGAUUAAAUCAACAAAAUGGGUGAUGGAUCUCUGCAGUAAGUGGAAGAGUUCUUCAUGGCCCCCAAGGUUAUAUCCAUCUAGAACUUCAGCACGUAAUUUCAUCUGGAAAUAGUGCCUUUGCGGAUAUAAGUUAGGUAAAACUGAAGAUGAGAUCAUACUGGAUUAGGAUGGGAUCUAAAUCCAAUGAAAAUGUCUUCAUAAAAAACAGGAAAGAACCCAUAGAAACACAAGGAAGAAGGUCAUGUGAAGAUGGAGGCAGAGAUUGGAGGGAUGCAGCCACCGGCCCAGGAAUGCCAGCAGCCACCCAGAAGCUGGAAGGAAAUGAGGGAUUCUCUCCUAGAACCUUUAGAGAGAACAUGGUCCUGUGAACAGCUUGAUUUUGGACUUGCCCAUAGCUUGUAUACUCUUACUUUGGAUACAAUUUUAUCCAAACUUGGCUAAACAGUUUCUCAGCCUAUGGAAAAUUUAAAAUGGAGAAGAUUCAACUCGAUUCUUACAGAUUCAAAGCAAGAAAAUGAUGGGAACAUAGGAGGAGACCAAGAAAGCCUAUAAAAAGCAAAAAUAUGAAGUGAACAUUGUGGUAGCUUUAAGAUGUUUAGUGUAGCUGCAGGCACCCUAUACACAUGAAAACCCCCAAGGGGAAUCCCCAUAUCACAGUGUAGUGUGAUAUUUGACAUUCGUGAUCAUCUAGAGAUGUACAGAAAAGGUGAAUCUGUGUUCUGUAUAUUCUGCCUAAGGCAAAGAAAUGUUUAGCUCUCUUUAAAAUAGUUCCAUAAUUUUUUCUAAAAAGCUUUGCUUGAAAACUGUAAGCUUCCCAUAUCUGGAGCAUUUCACUUUAAAUAUUUGGAUAAAUAUGUUAUCUUCUUACUUGGACAUUUCAUGUGUUUAGGGAUUGUCUUCUAAAUUCUUCCUAAUUCAUAUAGCUGCUAACACUUCCCGCAGAGCUAAACCAUUACAGAUAUGAAAUAAAGACCUAUUGAUUUGACUU
rnacentral:lncRNA from 1 species